rnacentral:lncRNA from 1 species
UUGCUUGCGAUUAUGAGGUCAAUGCCAUUCCCAAUGAACCUAGUUCAUUUAAAAGGACAGCUAUCAAUAGUAAAGGUCAGAGCUCUAUUACAGGAGAGUGAGGCAUAGGAUGCUGAGAUAGCAAGCUGAAGACACGGUUAGUUGAGGUACAAUUUGAGAGAGUUGUUCUCAGAGUUGAACUUGCAAGGGAAAGGGAGAAGAAUGAUGGAAUUCUUCAAGACGUGCUGAAACCUCUCCAAGCCAAAAAAAUAAUUCCAGCCCCUACCCCUUCCAAGCCUUAAAUCAUAGCCUAGUGAAGAUAAACCAG